UUCCGCAGGGGCAAGGGGACGAAUGAUUGUCUUGCGUUGCUUUCUUCAGAAAUUCAAAUGGCUUACGCCGAAAAAAAAACAAAUGACUUCAGUAUUCUUGGACAUAAAGGGGACCUUUGAUUCUGUUUCAAUAGAGGUUUUGUCAGACAAAUUACACUCUCGGGGACUGCCGCCUCUAUUGAAUAAUAUGUUAUAUAACUUGCUUUGUGAGAAACAUUUGAACUUUUCUCAUGGAGAUUCGGCAGUAAGCCGGGUCUCCUACAUGGGACUCCCCCAGGGCUCAUGUUUAAGCCCCCUUUUGUACAACUUCUAUGUAAGCGACAUUGACAAUUGUCUUACACAAAAUUGCAGCCUAAGACAACUUGCAGAUGAUGGAGUGGUGUCUGUCGUAGGAUCAAACGAAUCCGACCUGCAAGAACCCUUACAAGAUACUUUGAACAAUUUUUCAACCUGGGCCAUUGGGCUAGGGAUCGAAUUCUUCACGGAGAAAACAGAGAUGGUGGUUUUUUCUAGGAAGCAUAGACCAGCAAAACCAAAGCUUCAACUUUUGGGUAAACCGAUCACUUAUGCUAUGUCAUUCAAGUAUCUUGGGGUCUGGUUCGACUCCAAAUGUACUUGGGGGCCCAUAUUAGGUAUCUGAGUAAAAAAUGCCAACAAAGAAUAAACUUUCUCCGUACAAUUACCGGUACCUGGUGGGGAGCCCACCCCGAAGAUCUUAUAAUGUUGUAUCGAACAACUAUUCUCUCAGUGAUGGAGUACGGCAGUUUCUGUUUUCAAUCAGCUGCCAAAACACACCUCAUUAAACUCGAGCGAAUUCAGUAUCUUUGUCUCCGUAUUGCGUUGGGAUGUAUGCCCUCAACGCAUACCAUGAGUCUCGAGGUUUUGGCAGGCGUACUCCCACUAAAAGAUCGCUUCAAUUUAUUAUCUCUUCGAUUCCUCAUCCGGUGUAAGGUUAUGAACCCAUUGGUGAUCGGAAAUUUUGAGCAACUGAUCGAGCUAAAUUUUCACUCUGAAUUCAUGAGUUCAUAUCAUGAAUGCAUCUCCAUGCAGGUUGUUCCUUCUUCGUAUAUUCCCAACCGUGUUUGUUUUCCUGACUACAUCAAUUCCUCUGUACAUUUUGAUCUGUUCAUGAAGGAGAAAAUCCAUGGAAUUCCAGAUUAUCUUCUAUCGGGGAUCGUUCCUACGAUCUUUAAUGCAAAGUAUGGGCGUAUCAAUUGCGAUAAUAUGUACUUUACUGAUGGGUCCUCUAUGAAUGAGUCCACAGGAUUUGGAGUGUUCAACGUAUUUUUUAGCACCUCACACAGUCUUCAGUAUCCUUGCUCAGUGUAUAUUGCUGAAUUGGCAGCAAUACACUGGGCGCUGGACAGCGUCGCCUCACGACCUGUUGAACACUAUUACAUUGUAACGGAUAGUCUUAGCUCUGUCGAAGCUAUCCGUUCAGUGAGGCCGGAAAAGCACUCGCCGUAUUUCCUUGAGAGAAUACGAGAAGUUUUGAGUGCUUUAACCAGACGCUGUUAUGCCAUUACCUUUGUCUGGGUCCCUUCUCAUUGCUCAAUUCCGGGUAAUGAGAGGGCUGACUCAUUAGCAAAGGUAGGUGCGAUUGAAGGCGAUAUUUAUCAGCGUCAAAUCGCCUUCAAUGAAUUUUAUUCUUUAGUCCGUAAAAAUACCACCACUGUUCGUUAGACGCGCUACUCUUUCGUAUUAAUCUUGCCGACAGCAAUCUUUGUGUUUGUGGCCACGGUUACCACGACAUCGAGCACGUUGUUUGGUCGUGCGAGUUGUAUCUUGUCGCCAGAUCGAAUUUAGAAAACUCCCUCAGGGCUAGAGGAAGACAGCCCAAUGUGCCGGUGAGAGAUGUGUUGGCUCGGUUAGACCUUGAUUACAUGUCCCAAAUCUAUAUUUUCCUUAAAGCUAUCGAUGUUCGUGUGUGAUUAUCCUUAUAUCCUUAUAUCCUUUGCGUGCAAUUGGUCCCCUUGCUACAAACAGUAGAAUAAGUUGAAAUGUAAAUACACAAUAGAUAUACGAAUAGAUUUAAGAAUUGAGUGUGUGAGAUUAUCAUUAUUGUAACAAUUUCCUUAUAUCCCAUCCUUUUCCUGAACAAAUAUGUCACCCUACUAAACUCGAGUAGACCGCGAGUAAUCGGUUUUCUACCUUACUUACCUUAGAUUUAGAAAAUGUUUAUGUAUAGUAAUAAAAAUAUUAUUAAGAAUUCGGCUCCUUUGAACUUAUGAAACUAAGCCUGUAAAAAUAAACGAAAUUAAAAAAAAAAAGUGUUAGGACAAGGGGUUUGAUGAUUUACAUUUAAUUUUUUUUCCAAAUUUAGAACCGAUUUUAGGCAUGCUGAUUCGAAAGAGGACAUUGCAAUUUAAUACUGUUGUAGGUGGCGACACCAUGAAUAACAUUGAAUAAAUCAUUUGUUUGACAUUUGUCGUGAUGGCGCUGCUACAAGCGUGGACUGCAUGUGUGAAUAGGUGGAGACGGAGACGGAACGUGAACGUUCUGUUCCGUAAGGCCGAUUACACAUUAAGUGCGAUUCACAUACAACAUCCACGUCACGUCCACGUUCCGUCACGUCACGUUACGUCAGUUAUUCUACCAUGCAUUUCUUAUGGAAACAUUCACAUACACCGGCAACGUAACGAUCCGUAAGCAUACGUUCAACGAAAACGACCGGCAGGAUUUGUAGAAAAGAAUAAUGUGCGAUUCACAUAGCAUGUUACGGAGAAGAACGUCUACGUUCCGUCAACGUCUCCACCAAUUCACACAUGCAGUCAAUGCUUCCACCAGCAUCGUCCCGUCAAAUGCCAAACGAAUGAUUUAUUUAAUUUUAUUCAUGGUGUCGCCACCUACAACAAUUUUAAAUUGCAAUGUCCUCUUUCAAAUCAGCAUGCCUAGAAUCAGUUCUAAAUUUUGAAAAAUUCAAUGAGAAUCAUUGAAUUCAAUUAUUUAAAUGCUUAAACCCCGUAGUCCGACCCUCAUGCAACAAUAAUAAUAAAUAGAAUAAUUCUUUCAACUAGUCGCGAAUGAUUUUCACUCCGAAAUUUGGAGCUAAGAGAUAUGUUGGCAUGAAAAGUACAGUAAGUUGCUUAUAAAGCGAUAUGCUGAGGCACCACUCAGUGUCGCAUUGGAGUCGGUUUUGACCAGUAAUUGGACAUUUGCGACUGGUGGCGACUUUCAAUGUGGGGCCAUAAUUUGGGUCUCGAACUCAAUGUUUACAAAAAUGUCCAACUAGAGGUAAAAAUGUCUAAUUAAACGUGUUGCAUCACAGAUCUGUUCAAUUAGCCUAAUGUCGAUGUAGAUGUACAUUACUGUACAACCAAAUCAAAACAAAAGCCGAGACACAAAGCCCAGACAAAAACCAAACGAGCCGUCCGUCUCCGUCAAUUAUUCUUUUCUACAAACCCUGCCGGUCGUUUUCGUUGAACGUAUGCUGACGGGUCGUUACGUUGCUGAUGUAUGUGAAUGUUUUCAUGAGAAUUGCAUGGUAGAAUCAUUGACGUAUCGUGACGUGACGGGACGUGAACGUGACGUGUAUGUUGUAUGUGAAUCGCACUUAAUUGACGGAGACGGACGGCUCGUUUGUUUUUUGUCUGGACUUUGUGUCUCGGCUUUUGUUUUGAUUUGGUUGUACAGUAAUUUAUAUCUAAUUCGACAUUAAGCUAAUUGAACAGAUCUGUGAUGCAAUACGUUUAAUUGCAAAUUUUUACCUCUUAUUGUGCGAUUCACAUAGCAUGUUACGGAGAAGAACGUCUACGUUCCGUCAACGUCUCCACCAAUUCACACAUGCAGUCAAUGCUUCCACCAGCACCGUCACUUCAAAUGCCAAACGAAUGAUUUAUUUAAUUUUAUUCAUGGUGUCGCCACCUACAACAAUUUAAAUUGCAAUGCCCUCUUUCAAACCAGCAUGCCUAGAAUCAGUUCUAAAUUUUGAAAAAUUCAAUGAGAAUCAUUGAAUUCAAUUAUUUAAAUGCUUAAACCCCGUAGUCCGACCCUUAUGCAACAAUAAUAAUAAAUAGAAUAAUUCUUUCAACUAGUCGCGAAUGAUUUUCACUCCGAAAUUUGGAGCUAAGAGAUAUGUUGGCAUAAAAAGUACAGUAAGUUACUUAUAAAACGAUAUGCUGAGGCACCACUCAGUGUCGCAUUGGAGUCGGUUUUGACCAGUAAUUGGACAUUUGCGACUGGUGGCGACUUUCAAUGUGGGGCCAUAAUUUGGGCCCCGAACUCAAUAUUUACAAAAAUGUCCAACUAGAUGUGAAAAUGUCUAAUUAAACGUGUUGCAUCACAGAUCUGUUCAAUUAGCUUAAUGUCGAUGUAGAUGUAAAUUACUGUACAACCAAAUCAAAACAAAAGCCGAGACACAAAGCCCAGACAAAAACCAAAACGAGCCGUCCGUCUCCGUCAAUUAUUCUUUUCUACAAACCCUGCCGGUCGUUUUCGUUGAACGUAUGCUGACGGAUCGUUACGUUGCUGGGGUAUGUGAAUGUUUUCAUGAGAAUUGCAUGGUAGAAUCAUUGACGUAUCGUGACGUGACGGGACGUGAACGUGACGUGUAUGUUGUAUGUGAAUCGCACUUAUUGGACAUUUUUGUAAACAUUGCGUUCGGAGCCCAAAUUAUAGCCCCACAUUUAAAGUCACCACCAGUCGCGAAUGUCCAAUUACUGGUCAAAAUCAACUCCAAUGCGACACUGAAUGGUGCCUCAGCAUAUCGCGUGAUAAGUAACUUACUGUACUUUUUAUGCCAACAUAUCUCUUAACUCCAAAUUUCGGAGUGAAAAUCAUUCGCGAAUAGCUGAGAGAAAUAUUCUAUUUAUUAUUAUUGUUGAAUAAGGGUCGGACUACGGGGUUUAAGUAGUUAAAUAAUUUAAUACAAUGAUGUUCAUUGAAUUUUUCAAAAUUUAGAACUGAUUCUAGGCAUGCUGAUUUGAAAGAGGGCAUUGCAAUUUAAAAUUGUUGUAGGUGGCGACACCAUGAAUAACAUUACAUAAAUCAUUCGUUUGACAUUUGACGUGACGGUGCUGGUGGAAGCAUUGACUGCAUGUGUGAAUUGGUGGAGACGUUGACGGAACGUAGACGUUCUUCUCCGUAACGUUCUAUGUGAAUCGCACAUUAUCCGGUUUCUGCCGGACCGCUUUCAAAAAGCGCCGCUGGGUUUGGACGGAUAACCGGAUAACAAUGUGAAAGAGACCUCGCGCUACACAAAACCGUGCAUCUCUCACAUACACAUACGUGCAUUUAUUUCUAUAAUGGAUUGACAGAUAAACAUUGCUGCGAAUCCACGAUGACAGUGGAAUACUGUCGACGUCUGGUGGCGACUUUCAAUUAGAGCAUAAUUUGGGUCCCAAAUUCAUUAGUGUAAUCUUUAUCAGAUUAGAAGACACGAAGCCAGUUUUAGAAUGUUAAAAUGUGAAUGAAAUUUUUACAUCAUGUUACUUAAUUAUUUGAAACCCGUAUUCCUGACUUUUAUUUAACCAUUUGUUUAUACAUUUUCACUGAAACUUUUCAUUAUAAUAUAAAGUUGUCUUCAAAAACAAUUUUCGCAUGAGAUUUUUCCAUCACUUGCAAAAAAAGUGUUUUUCAUUUGAAUAGAAUAUAUAAUUUGAUGCGCAAAAGUUAAUUUUCAUUCAUAAUUUUAAUAUUAAAAACGUGUCCAUUCCGCCUGAAAACCAAUUAUUUUUUAUGCUCCCCUAAACUGGUAAACAAAGCUCAAUGCCGUCAACGCGAAUCCUCCUACUACAUGCAGCUAUGUGCCUACGCAAAAUCCCAGCUGGUGCGGCAACCACGAACCUUUUCAAAUUUGCGUUUCUUGGAGCACUGAGAGCACGGCCAAAGUGAGAGCAGAUAUCGCGGACAUGACGUGUACCCUGCAUCAGGACGAUGCUCUUACCGAUAGGUGCGAUCAGAGGGGUCAAAAGUGUUAAUUUUCCCGCCCUAUUUCAGAAUACAAUCGCGAAACUUUUCCGUAAUUCGCAGAGCACACACGUUCGUCUUGGGCUCAUGUGAAUCUAUAACGUUUCCCAUAACGACGGCAAAGUAAACUUGCAUGAUGAAUAAACUUAAAACACUUACUGGACAAAAAUAUGGUUGUCGUCAACAGUAUUACCAAAACUAACUUUAAUCCAGUUGCGGUGUACUUAUCCAUACGCUAAAUUGUUUAUUCUCAAACAUACACAAAUAGUAUUAUCCAUUUCACAUGCUCUGUAGCCUCAUAUUUUUUCAAUAGUCGCAAAAACACGGUUAUAUAAAAGUGAAGAAUUUGAAAAACCAAUAAUAAUAACAUUUCGUAAUAACCUAGUGGCACUAAUUAAUUAUAUGUGGUAUGUGUUCUCUUCCUGUGAUUAUCUUAGAAUUUUCCUACGAGAGAAUGUGUGCCCAUCUAUCUAUUCUAGUCUUUUUAUUCCACCAUUGCAAUAAUAAUCUUCACAAUUAAAAUAACAUAAUUUUCCUUCAAACACUAUCUCACUGCUGCUUCCGCAGAUUCUCGUCCAGAAACGCGCUCAGCAUAUGCCGCAAUUCCUCGAGCACGUACAUCUUGGGCAGACACGGCUUCUCGAGGGCAUUUUGCACGCACAGCUGUUAAUACACGAAUCCUGGGCGAAGAAUGACCGAAUCAGAUAUGCCAACAGUUGGUUGAUUCCGCUCUGAUAGAGCCGAAGCUUCGGCGUUCGGCAGCGGAACAUCUUGACCACCGAGUACAGAUCGAACAGUUUGGUCGUGAACGCCUCUUCGUCGAUCGCGUUCCGGGUCAGGUUGAACUGUGUGGAAUAUCGAAUAAGAACAUUAGGAGGAAGAGCUUUUUCUAAUGUGUUCAAAUUAACAAAAACUUACCUUGACAUUCAGCUCGACAAAGACGCUCAAAAUUUAUCCCUUGAUGAACCAGUUGGAGAUUUGUUUGACAUCUUCGAACUCAUUUAGUAGCAAUUUCAAAUAAGGGAUCUUAUCUAUGAACAAAACAAAAACAGAAGUUAAUUAUAAAACUCGGUCAAUUUGUCGAAAAACACCACCCACCGUUAACCCACAGUCCACGGCAAUAUGCUCCAUGAUGUCCUCGUGCGCCUUUGCAGAAACUUUUAUCACUGAACCUGUUCCACAGCAGCUGAAUAAAGAAGCGAAAUAAAAAGACGGAUGCAACGGUAUAUCGCACCACAACACGAUGAUGGAAUCGAUGACGAUGCUAAAGCACACACAGCGAUGAUACGGCACACGCACCGCGUCCGCCGUGGAGGACUUCUUCCUCACGCUGGUAGUGAUUACUGCUCUCCUCACUCGCGCAAUAAAGAGAACCCCGUUAGGGCGAAAUAACUUCACCAGCCACGAACUGAUAACGGUAUAAUCUCCACUCUAUAAUAAACGCGAACAAAUUUGCGACCGAUGUCUUCGGACUGCGCGAGCUGAAUCCAUCAUGUGUGUUGAUGGAACACAUAUAAAAAUAAUCCCCCCUAAUCAGAAUCGAAAUUUAUUUUAUAAUCGAAAGGGGUUCUACAGUCUGAACGUUCUCAUUGUUUGUGACGAUCAGCAGAGGAUCCGUUUCGUUGAUCCUAGCUUUCACGGAUCUAAUCACGAUGCCCAUAUAUGGCGAAUAAGCCCUGUACGAACGUAUUUCGAGCAGAUGCAUCGAAACGGCGGAACACAAACUAAAAUACUGGGUGAUGCAGGCUACCCAUCGGAAUCAUGGCUGGUAACGCCAUUCAGAGCUCCGGAAGAAGGCAGUUUGGAAAGCGAUUUCAACCAGAGAUGUUUACUUGGAGCGCGACAACUACAUUACACUCCUACAAAAUGUGCUCAAAUUGUGAAUGUGUGCUGUGCACUUCAUAAUAUAUGUUUGGAAUACGGAUGCUCUCAGUAGGGGGCAUAUUUUGAUGAGUCAUAUCAAUAAAUUUUUAUUCUCUCCAAUACUAGCAACUAUCAUCUAUUUUUACUUUUUGUAUGCGAUAAAUAAAAUAAUACGAUUUGGUGAUCUAAUGUCUAAAUCUUGUGUUUAUUUUUAUAAUGCAAUAUUUGAAUAUUUGGAAAAAUGUUCUAUUUGCAUUUCUAAUAAUCAUUUUUUAACCUCCAGCUUCUCUCGAGCGAUUUUUUCCAUUUCGCGGUUAUGUCGAUUUUGUUCUUUCAACAUUUCUUUGAGACCAGUAUCUAUUGAGUUGAUUGCUUUGGCGAAUUGGCGUUGGUAAUGUACCAUAUCAUUGAGGUUUUUGUUUGAGGUACCCAACAGCGAUUCCAUUUCCGAGUGAAAUUUCUGUUGUUGUUCAAUUUGUAUUUGAACUAAAUUGAGGGCAGAUAGCCUAGGUCUCUUUGGUUGGGAGCAUUGAGGAAUAGCCGUAUCAUUCGCAUCGUCGGACUCGUCAAUUGAAUCGCAACU